UACAGAGGGGGCAAGCGUUAUUCGGAAUUAUUGGGCGUAAAGGGCGCGUAGGCGGCCGAGCAAGUCUUGGGUGAAAUCCCUCGGCUCAACCGAGGAACUGCCUUGGAAACUGCUUGGCUCGAGGCCGGGAGAGGAUGGUGGAAUUCCCAGUGUAGCGGUGAAAUGCGUAGAUAUUGGGAGGAACACCAGUGGCGAAGGCGGCCAUCUGGACCGGUCCUGACGCUGAGGCGCGAAAGCGUGGGGAGCAAACAGG
rnacentral:rRNA from 1 species